UCAAACUGGCAACCUCAUGGUUCCUAGUUGGAUUCGUUAACCGCUGAGCCAUGAUGGGGACUCCAGGUGUUCGGUUUUUAUGCAAGAGCUCCCCAGAGAAAUGUUCUUUGAGCUGUGCUGAGCCUUGAAGAAUGAAUAGGAUUUUGAGUCGGCGAAGAAAACAGCAGAGGAAACCAACUACUGAGCACAAAGGUAAACCAGACCACAGGCAGCUAGAAUGGAUCUCUGUAGAGGGAGUGAACUCAAACACAAAGGUGAAUUCUUGGCACAGAGUUGGAGGAAUAUGAAUGCUCAUGUACAAACCGGGAAUGAUGCCAGGAAUAAGGCAGAAAGGAAGACUGGCCUAAGUGCUAAAAAAGUUAAGGAGCUGGGGCAUGAACUAGUGUUACAGAAGAGAAGUGGCAGAUGAAGGUGUCUAAUACAUCAUGUCACUAUGUAAACUGAGCUUGAAAAAUUCCCAUAUCUCUAUUUUAUCUUAUACUGAAAAAUAUUCUGAUACCUGACUUUUGCCUUGUGUGUCAGAGACUGAACAUGGCCAUCACUGUGUUUAUUAUCUUCAUGUGCAGGAUAUGUAAUUUCUUUAUCCCUUUCUCCUGGCAAUUAGAUCAAACCAGUGACAAAGUUAUGGCUGUGAAGUUUGAAUGGAUGUGUGGCACUUCCAGACCUGGCUCAUCAAAGCCUCCCAUGUCUAAUCCUAGCAUUAUUACUACAUCUGCUAGAUGAAUGAAGAGGUCUUCAAAGACUUACAGAAGAGACAGGAUAAAAGGAUCUUGGGUCCCUGAGUGACUGUGUGGAGUAGAGACCAUCCACUGACCUGCACUUCAAUGUCAGGUCUUGACCUAGACGUGGUGUAGCUGACAGCUGAGAUUCUUGUGCUGAGCCAUAUAGAAGCUGUAAGAUUGAUCACACUUCUGAAGGAGGAUUCUCCCAGAUGCCACACUGAAGCAGAUUCCAUGGACCAGGAGGACUGAAAAGGUUUGGAGCUUUCCUAGACAAUUUAGAGGCACCUACAAAAGUAAGCUUUCCACAAUAGGAUAACAAAGGAUUUCAAUGGAACCAGCAAAGAAAGGCAAAGAACCUGCUCUAUAUAUAGCACCAGGAAUUGGACAUCCAUAUGGCAGCAGCAGUGGUGGUGGCAGUGGUGGUGGCAGCGGCGGCGGCAGCAGCGGCGGUGGUGGCACAGGGGGUGUAUUAUAGCAAUGGGAGAGAUAGUUUAUUACUAAGAUAUUAUGUUAUUUUUUGGGAUUUUGUGAUGUUUGUGGUCUCUGCCAGCUCCCUUUAUUUUUAUUUUAUUUUAUUUUUUUUGGCUUUUUAGGGCCUGCAGGUAUGGCAUAUG